rnacentral:tRNA from 1 species
CAAAAGGUAGUUUAUUAAAACAGUAAUUUUGGAUAUUACAGAUCUUGCCCAAGUCUUUUGA